CUCCAGACUCCUACGGGAGGCAGCAGUGGGGAAUAUUGCACAAUGGGGGAAACCCUGAUGCAGCGACGCCGCGUGAGCGAUGAAGUAUUUCGGUAUGUAAAGCUCUAUCAGCAGGGAAGAAAAUGACGGUACCUGACUAAGAAGCCCCGGCUAACUACGUGCCAGCAGCCGCGGUAAUACGUAGGGGGCAAGCGUUAUCCGGAUUUACUGGGUGUAAAGGGAGCGUAGACGGCUGUGCAAGCCAGAUGUGAAAGCCCGGGGCUCAACCCCGGGACUGCAUUUGGAACUGUGUGGCUGGAGUGUUGGAGAGGCAGGCGGAAUUCCUAGUGUAGUGGUGAAAUGCGUAGAUAUUAGGAGGAACACCAGUGGCGAAGGCGGCCUGCUGGACGAUGACUGACGUUGAGGCUCGAAAGCGUGGGGAGCAAACAGGAUUAGAUACCCGAGUA
rnacentral:rRNA from 1 species